GCCUACCACUUUAUUCUCUUUAGUUUCAGUGUCCAGUGGGUGCGUCUAUGUAGAUGUGAGGCAGUGAUUUCCCCAUGAUGCAUUGCUUUCCUCCAGUAAGACUAUGAUAACGGAGUGUCUGCCUGUUUUGUGGUGAUAAUACCCUCACAUUACGGACUGUCAUCCCAUUACUGCCUGACCUUCACUUUAUUCCCUUUCUAUAAUUUUAUUCCAUCCAGUGCCUCGAAAAUGGGUUUAAUACGUUUAAAAGGAACCUCUAGAUUGUAUCUCACAACAACACAGUGAAGGCAGUCACCAAUCGAUCCAUCUAGUGGAGGGGUACAGCCUGCAGGACCGGCCAAUCCAGCCAAUAUACUGUUUCAAACUGCACCGACAACAUCAUCAGAGUCUACAAAAGAAAACUCAAGAAAAAAAGGAGAGCAAAGAAAAAUGAUUCAUCAUCACUCCCUCGACCCCAACCCCGGGAUCACAGCAGGAAAGGAUGACAGGAAACAGGACGGACACCCCAGUGGAGAUCUGUCCUCAGAGAGCAGCACAGGUCGAUGGCCGCCCGAUGCUCACAGCAUUACCCCGAUGCUAACAGCAUUACCCUGGGCUGCGAUUGGCCGACACCAGCGGGGGCUCCGAUUGAUCCAGCAGCUCUCUGCCACGCUGGAUCAGCUCUCCUUCAUUUGUGGAGGAAAUAUUGAUAUUGGCCGAUAUCUGCUGUUGGAAACGCGCCUUAUGGGAGAGCAGCACGGGACGGAUUUGGGUCUAAAGCUUCGGCCACGCCCAUCCUUUAGUCUGGAUGCAUCCUGUGUCUGUUUC
ensembl:lncRNA